rnacentral:rRNA from 1 species
GACAGAGGUGGCAAGCGUUGUUCGGAUUUACUGGGCGUAAAGAGCGCGCAGGCGGUCGUGCAAGUCGCGUGUGAAAGCCCCCGGCUCAACUGGGGAGGGUCACGCGAUACUGCUCGACUUGAAGGCAGGAGAGGGAAGUGGAAUUCCCGGUGUAGUGGUGAAAUGCGUAGAUAUCGGGAGGAACACCAGUGGCGAAGGCGGCAUCCUGGACCGGUAUUGACGCUGAUGCGCGAAAGCCAGGGGAGCAAACGGG